AUGAAAAUACAGAACAGUACGAACAUAACAACUCGAAAAGACACGAAGAAAACAGAAAAAAAAAAUGAAACCACAAAAACUUUUAAAAAUGAAAAAAAGGAAGAUAAUAUAGAAAAAACAGAAUAUGAAAAAAAAAAUAAUAAUAUGAGCCAAAGUUCAAACGAAAGCUCAAGCCAAAGUUCUAACGAAAGCUCAAACGAAAGCUCAAACGAAAACUCAAACGAAAACUCAAACGAAAACGAAAACUCAAACGAAAGCUCAAACGAAAGCUCAAACGAAAGCUCAAACGAAAGCUCAAACGAAAACCCAAACGAAAACUCAAACGAAAACCCAAACGAAAGCUCAAACGAAAACCCAAACGAAAACUCAAACGAAAACUCAAACGAAAACUUAAACGAAAGCUCAAGCCAAAGCUCGACCCAAAGUGUGAGUAAAAAUAUAGUAGUAGACACAAAAAAAACAACGGAUACCCUUGCAGAAACAAACAAAAACAAAAUUUCAAAGGAAUGUGAUGAUAGUGAUAAAGAUAGUAAUAACGAUAAUAGUAACAAUAAUAAUGAUGAUGAAAACUUAAGUUAUAACAUGAAAGUAAAAAACAGAAAGAAAAUGUGGGAAUCGACAAUAAAUAAGGUCCUAAAAUCGAGAGAUACACUUGGUAAAUUUGAAAACUUUGAAAAAAAUGAAAACGUAAAUAUGACCAGACAAGAUAAAAUAAAUAAAGAAAAAUUAAAAAUAUAUAUGCGUAAUUAUCUUAGUACUUCACAAAAAAAAGAUGUUUAUGAAUAUAUUCCAGAUACAUCUAACAAUUUAAUUUGUCAUAAUAACCCAAAUGAAUUAUAUACUGAUGUAGUUAAUAUAAAUAAAAACCUAUUAGAUAAUAGUAAUAAUAUAAAUGUAUAUUUUUCUCCAGUAGAUGCCUAUCUUUCAAAUGUGGUAAAAACAUCAGAGUCUUUGAAAAUUCAAAAUAAUCAAUCGAAAUCAUCAUUGGCAGAUAAUUCUAAAUUAUUUAAUAACCAAAAUAGUAAUAUAAAGCAAAAUGAAAAUUAUAUUUUAAAUGAUGAAUGUAAUGAAAAACCAUUAUAUGCAUAUGAAUUUUAUAAAAAUAAAAUUUUUAAACAUUAUAAUAAUAAUGUUAUUAUAGAAGUAGAUCCUAAAGAAAUAAAAUAUAAUAAUUCAAAUUAUUAUGAAUAUAAUAAAAAUAUGUACAGCUAUACAGAUGAUCCAUUAUCUUAUUUACAAAAAUUAAAAUGUGAAGUAGAGGAUCUUACUUUAUAUAUAAACGAUAUUGCAAAUAACGAUAAGGAAAAAAAUUAUUUGGAUAAUGGAACAGAAGAAAUGACAGAAGUAGGAAUAGUAAAAAACGAGACAAAAAAAACAGCUUCUGAAAUAAUAAAACAGAAUAAAAUUGUUAAACAAAUAUUACAUAAUAGAGAAGCUCCCGAAGUAUUAAUAGAAUUAUUUUCCUUAAAAAAUGACAUUGAUAAUAUAUUAAGUGAUGACUCAAUAAAAAAUAUAUUACUAUCAAACGAAAAUAAUGAACAACCUACGGUUUAUGACAAAUCUGAAGACAUUUGUAAACUUUUAGAUAAUUUAAAACAAUUAGAAAAUAAUAUAUCAUCAAACUUAGGUGAAAAUAAUGACAAUAGUGAAAACAAAAAAAAAAGUGAAUUUAUGUAUUCACCUAAACAUGUAGAUAUAUAUACAAUUAAAAAUAAUAAAAAAAAAAGAAGUUGA
ensembl:lncRNA